UACGUAGGUGGCGAGCGUUAUCCGGAUUUAUUGGGUUUAAAGGGAGCGUAGGUGGUUUAGUAAGUCAGUGGUGAAAGUCUGCCGCUUAACGGUAGGAUUGCCAUUGAUACUGCUAGGCUAGAGUUCGGUUGAGGUAGGCGGAAUUUAUGGUGUAGCGGUGAAAUGCAUAGAUACCAUAAAGAACACCGAUUGCGAAGGCAGCUUACUGGACCGUUACUGACACUGAGGCUCGAAAGUGCGGGUAUCAAACAGG
rnacentral:rRNA from 1 species